GCCUGGGUGGCUCAGUAGGUUGGGCGCCUGACUUCGGCCCAGGUCAUGAUCUUGCAUUUUGUGGGUUCGAACCCCACAUGGGGCU
rnacentral:tRNA from 1 species